rnacentral:hammerhead_ribozyme from 1 species
AUCCAUCUAACGAGUCUUAAAUAGGACAAAAUGCACGUCCUGGAU